CCCACACCCAUAUGUGUAGGACCCUAAAGGAUCACCAUUAAAUUUGGCACAAAUCUCUAGAAAAGUUAUCACAUAGAAGUGGGAUUUAACUUUUCUAGAGAUAUGUGCCAAAUUUAAUAGUGAUCCUUUGAGGUCCUACACACGUGGGUGUGGG
rnacentral:pre_miRNA from 1 species